GACGAACGCUGGCGGCGUGCCUAACACAUGCAAGUCGAGCGGGGCAGGGCGGAUGGCAACUGAAGCCUCUACCUAGCGGCGGACGGGUGAGUAACGCGUGGGCAACCUGCCUCAAGGAUCGGGAUAACAGCUCGAAAGGGCUGCUAAUACCGGAUGCGCUCACGGCCUCGCAUGGGGCUGUGAGCAAAGGGGAAACCCGCCUUGAGAUGGGCCCGCGUCCCAUCAGCUAGUUGGUGAGGUGAAAGCUCACCAAGGCGACGACGGGUAGCCGGCCUGAGAGGGUGACCGGCCACACUGGGACUGAGACACGGCCCAGACUCCUACGGGGGGCAGCAGUGGGGGAUCUUGCACAAUGGGCGAAAGCCUGAUGCAGCGACGCCGCGUGAGCGAAGAAGGCCUCGGUUGUAAGCUCUGUCUGGAGGGACGGAAACAAAUGACGGUACCUCCGGAGGAAGCCACGGCUAACUACGUGCCAGCAGCCGCGGUAAUCA
rnacentral:rRNA from 1 species